UACGUAGGUGACAAGCGUUGUCCGGAUUUACUGGGCGUAAAGAGCGCGCAGGCGGUCGUUCAAGUCGAGUGUGAAAGCCCCCGGCUCAACUGGGGAGGGUCAUUCGAUACUGAUCGACUCGAAGGCAGGAGAGGGUAGUGGAAUUCCCGGUGUAGUGGUGAAAUGCGUAGAGAUGUGGAGGAACACCAGUGGCGAAGGCGACUCUUUGGCCUGUAACUGACGCUGAGGCGCGAAAGCGUGGGGAGCAAACAGG
rnacentral:rRNA from 1 species